rnacentral:rRNA from 1 species
CUUCCGUAAGGGUGAACCUGCGGAAGGAUCAUUACCGAGUUUUCGGGCUUCGGCUCGACUCUCCCACCCUUUGUGAACGUACCUCUGUUGCUUUGGCGGCUCCGGCCGCCAAAGGACCUCCAAACUCCAGUCAGUAAACGCAGACGUCUGAUAAACAAGUUAAUAAACUAAAACUUUCAACAACGGAUCUCUUGGUUCUGGCAUCGAUGAAGAACGCAGCGAAAUGCGAUAAGUAAUGUGAAUUGCAGAAUUCAGUGAAUCAUCGAAUCUUUGAACGCACAUUGCGCCCCUUGGUAUUCCGGGGGGCAUGCCUGUUCGAGCGUCAUUACAACCCUCAAGCUCUGCUUGGAAUUGGGCACCGUCCUCACUGCGGACGCGCCUCAAAGACCUCGGCGGUGGCUGUUCAGCCCUCAAGCGUAGUAGAAUACACCUCGCUUUGGAGUGGUUGGCGUCGCCCGCCGGACGAACCUUCUGAACUUUUCUCAAGGUUGACCUCGGAUCAGGUAGGGAUACCCGCUGAACUUAAGCAUAUCAAUAAGGCGGAGGAA